GGCUCAUUACAACAGCCAUAGUUUAUUAGAAUUACGUAUUCCUACUUGGAUAACUGUGGCAAUUCUAGAGCUAAUACAUGCAACUAAAGCUCCGACUUUUUAUAUUGGAAAGAGCGCAUUUAUUAGAAUAAAAACCAAUCGGUAUUUAAAGGCGCGGCGUUUUAAUCGACGUCGCGUUGCCGUUCUUUUGGUGAAUCUGAAUAACUUUGCCAAUCGCACGGUCUCCGCACCGGCGAUGUAUCUUUCAAAUGUCUGCCUUAUCAACUUUCGAUGGUAGGUUAUACGCCUACCAUGGUAGUAACGGGUAACGGAGAAUAAGGGUUCGACUCCGGAGAGGGAGCCUGAGAAAUGGCUACCACAUCCAAGGAAGGCAGCAGGCGCGCAAAUUACCCACUUCCAGCACGGAGAGGUAGUGACGAAAAAUAACGAGACAGUCCUCUUCGAGGUCUGUCAUCGGAAUGGGUACAAUUUAAAUAAUUUAACGAGUAUCUAUUGGAGGGCAAGUCUGGUGCCAGCAGCCGCGGUAAUUCCAGCUCCAAUAGCGUAUAUUAAAGUUGUUGAGGUUAAAACGCUCGUAGUUGGAUCUGCGGCCUUGGAGGGCGGUCCCCCGAAAGGGCGGUCACUGCUGGAGCUGUGCGCGUGUACGUUUUUAUAGCGUGCAUGUGUACAGUUUCUUUUACUCCUGGCCUAUAAUCGAGUUCUACUCUAGGUGCUCUUAAUUGAGUGCCUAGUUGGUGGCUCGAACGUUUACUUUGAAAAAAUUAGAGUGCUUAAAGCAGGCUUUUUACGCUUGAAUAAUGGUGCAUGGAAUAAUGGAAUAGGACCUCGGUUCUAUUUUGUUGGUUUUCGGAGCCCGAGGUAAUGAUUAAGAGGAACAGACGGGGGCAUUCGUAUUCCGGCGCUAGAGGUGAAAUUCUUGGACCGCCGGAAGACGGACAACUGCGAAAGCAUUUGCCAAGAAUGUUUUCAUUAAUCAAGAACGAAAGUUAGAGGUUCGAAGGCGAUCAGAUACCGCCCUAGUUCUAACCGUAAACGAUGCCAACUAGCGAUUAAUCGGCGUUAAUUAAUGACCCGAUUAGCAGCUUCCGGGAAACCAAAGUUUUUAGGUUCCUGGGGAAGUAUGGUUGCAAAGCUGAAACUUAAAGGAAUUGACGGAAGGGCACCACCAGGAGUGGAGCCUGCGGCUUAAUUUGACUCAACACGGGAAAACUCACCCGGCCCGGACACUGUAAGGAUUGACAGACUGAAAGCUCUUUCUUAAUUCGGUGGGUGGUGGUGCAUGGCCGUUCUUAGUUGGUGGAGCGAUUUGUCUGGUUAAUUCCGAUAACGAACGAGACUCUGGCCUAUUAAAUAGUCCAAGUAUACUCAUUAGUGCUUGACGACUUCUUAGAGGGACAAGCGGCGUCUAGCCGUAUGAAAUAGAGCAAUAACAGGUCUGUGAUGCCCUUAGAUGUCCGGGGCUGCACGCGCGCUACACUGAAAGAAUCAGCGUGUUUUAGCCUAGUCCGGAAGGACUGGGUAACCCGAGUAAAUUCUUUCGUGCUUGGGAUAGGGAAUUGCAA
rnacentral:rRNA from 1 species